GCUGGGGUAAGUAAAGUGGCGCACGGGCUGAGUAACGGCGAUGGGUAACUCCUACCCCUGGAUUUGGGAUAACGUUGCGAAAGCGACGCUAAUACCGGAUGAGGUUUGAUUGACUUAGGUUGAUCGAAUGAAAGGUGGCCUCUCCAUGGAAGCUACUGUUUGGGGAUGAGCCCGCGUACCAUUAGCUAGUUGGUAGGGUAAAGGCCUACCAAGGUGACGAUGGUUAGCUGGUCUGAGAGGAUGAUCAGCCACACUGGAACUGAAACACGGUCCAGACUCCUACGGGAGGCAGCAGUGAGGAAUUUUGCGCAAUGGGGGUAACCCUGACGCANCAACGCCGUGUGAGUGAGGAAGGNCUUCGGGUCGUANAGCUCUGUCGAGUGGGAAGAACCUUUAUCAUGCCAAUAGUGUGAUAAACUGACGGUACCACUGAAGGAAGCACCGGCUAACUCCGUGCCAGCNGCCGCGGUANUACGGAGGGUGCAAGCGUUAUUCGGAAUUAUUGGGCGUAAAGGGCGCGCAGGCGGUUUUGCAAGUCANAUGUGAAAUCCCANNNCUCAACCGUGGAACUGCAUUUGAAACUGUGAGACUUGAGUAUGGGAGAGGGAAGUGGAAUUCCUGGUGUAGCGGUGAAAAUGCGUANAUAUCAG
rnacentral:rRNA from 1 species